CUGGAGCGCUUAGAAGUGAGAAUGCCGGUAUGAGUAGCGAAAGACAGGUGAGAAUCCUGUCCACCGAAUGACUAAGGUUUCCUGGGGAAGGCUCGUCCGCCCAGGGUUAGUCGGGACCUAAGCCGAGGCCGACAGGCGUAGGCGAUGGAUAACAGGUUGAUAUUCCUGUACCCGUUGUUUUUGUUUGAGCAAUGGAGGGACGCAGGAGGCUAAGGAAUGCAGACGAUCGGAAAUGUCUGUCCAAGCAGUAAGUCUGAAGAGGAGUCAAAUGCUUCUUUUCUUAAGGACAAGCUGUGAUGGGGAGGGAAAUAAUAGUACCGAAGUUCCUGAUGUCACACUGCCGAGAAAAGCUUCUAGUGAGAAAACAGCGGCCCGUACCGCAAACCGACACAGGUAGUCGAGGAGAGAAUCCUAAGGUGAGCGAGAGAACUCUCGUUAAGGAACUCGGCAAAAUGACCCCGUAACUUCGGGAGAAGGGGUGCUGAUCAUACGAUCAGCCGCAGUGAAUAGGCCCAAGCGACUGUUUAUCAAAAACACAGGUCUCUGCAAAAUCGUAAGAUGAAGUAUAGGGGCUGACGCCUGCCCGGUGCUGGA
rnacentral:rRNA from 1 species